rnacentral:rRNA from 1 species
AUUGAACGCUGGCGGCAUGCCUUACACAUGCAAGUCGAACGGCAGCGCGGGAGCAAUCCUGGUGGCGAGUGGCGAACGGGUGAGUAAUGCAUCGGAACGUGCCAUUGAGUGGGGGAUAACGUAGCGAAAGUUACGCUAAUACCGCAUAUUCUGUGCGCAGGAAAGCAGGGGAUCGCAAGACCUUGCGCUCUUUGAGCGGCCGAUGUCAGAUUAGCUAGUUGGUGAGGUAAAGGCUCACCAAGGCGACGAUCUGCAGCGGGUCUGAGAGGAUGAUCCGCCACACUGGGACUGAGACACGGCCCAGACUCCUACGGGAGGCAGCAGUGGGGAAUUUUGGACAAUGGGGGCAACCCUGAUCCAGCCAUGCCGCGUGAGUGAAGAAGGCCUUCGGGUUGUAAAGCUCUUUCGGCCGGGAAGAAAUCGCACAGGUUAAUACCCUGUGUGGAUGACGGUACCGGACUAAGAAGCACCGGCUAACUACGUG